GAUGAACGCUAGCGACAGGCCUAACACAUGCAAGUCGAGGGGCAGCACAUGAGUAGCAAUACUUUGGUGGCGACCGGCGCACGGGUGAGUAACACGUAUGCAACCUGACUGUAAGAGGGGAAUAAUCCGGAGAAAUACGGACUAAUACCGCAUAAUACCACAAAUUCGCAUGGAUUUGUGUUUAAACAUUUAUGGAUUACAGACGGGCAUGAGUAUGAUUAGAUAGUAGGUGAGGUAACGGCUCACCUAGUCAACGAUCAUUAGGGGUUCUGAGAGGAAGGUCCCCCACACUGGUACUGAGACACGGACCAGACUCCUACGGGAGGCAGCAGUGAGGAAUAUUGGUCAAUGGGCGAGAGCCUGAACCAGCCAAGUCGCGUGAAGGAAGAAGGUUCUAUGGAUUGUAAACUUCUUUUGUAAGGGAAUAAAAAGAGUUACGUGUAACUUAUUGUAUUUACUUUACGAAUAAGGAUCGGCUAACUCCGUGCCAGCCGCCGCAGUAAAAC
rnacentral:rRNA from 1 species